GAGUUUGAUCCUGGCUCAGAAUCAACGCUGGCGGCGUGCCUAACACAUGCAAGUCGCACGAGAAAGGGUAGCAAUACCUGAGUACAGUGGCGCACGGGUGAGUAACACGUGAAUUAUCUACCUCCGAGUGGGGAAUAACUGAGAGAAAUCUUAGCUAAUACCGCAUAACACUUACGAGUCAAAGCAGCAAUGCGCUUGGAGAGGAGUUCGCGGCCGAUUAGUUAGUUGGCGGGGUAAUGGCCCACCAAGACGAUGGUCGGUAUCCGGCCUGAGAGGGCGCACGGACACACUGGAACUGAAACACGGUCCAGACUCCUACGGGAGGCAGCAGCGGGAAUUUUGCGCAAUGGGGAAACCCUGACGCAGCAACGCCGCGUGGAGGAUGAAAUAUCUUGGUAUGUAAACUCCUUUCGAUGGGGAAGAUUAUGACGGUACCCAUAGAAGAAGCCCCGGCUAACUUCGUGCCAGCAGCCGCCGCCGUAAG
rnacentral:rRNA from 1 species